rnacentral:rRNA from 1 species
UACAGAGGGUGCAAGCGUUAAUCGGAAUUACUGGGCGUAAAGCGUGCGUAGACGGUAGCGUAAGUCGGGUGUGAAAGCCCCGGGCUCAACCUGGGAAUUGCAUUCGAGACUGCUCUGCUAGGGUGCGGAAGAGGGAAGCGGAAUUUCCGGUGUAGCGGUGAAAUGCGUAGAUAUCGGAAGGAACACCAGUGGCGAAAGCGGCUUCCUGGUCCAGCACCGACGUUCAGGCACGAAAGCGUGGGAGCAA